rnacentral:lncRNA from 1 species
GAAUUCAAUCUCUGCUGACUGCUGGGGCUGAGACAUCAAUCUUCUCCGGCUCUCAGUGCUCUUCCAGACUCAGACUGGAAUGUACACUAUCAGCUCUCCAGUUCUCAGGCCUUCAAAUUACACCUCUGGCUUUCCUGGGUCUCCAGCUUGCAGAUGGCAGAUCGUGGGACUUCAUGGGACUUCUCAGACUCCAUAACCAAGCAAGCCAUUUUACUUACUUUGGACUCAUUUUCUUAAUCCAAAAAUGGAAGUAAGGCUUGUCAUCUGUCUUAUUCAUAGUCACAGGGCUGAGGAGCUACAGUCUAAAUGCAUACGCAUGUUGGGAACCGAAGUCAGCCAUCUUCCCUAGGACAAAUCUUUACUCUUCUAAAGAAGGACAAGAAUAAGGAUUUGAAUGACUUUCAUCGUAAUGAAGGCUUCUGCAGAGUAAUUGAUUUUGACCAUGAGUACCUGUUGAAGUCACAGCAACUUCUCCUUCUAGAUUAUCUUACAG